CGCAUCUGUGCAUGCAGCAUAUCAAUAAGCGGAGGAAAAGAAACUAACAAGGAUUCCCCUAGUAACGGCGAGUGAAGCGGGAAGAGCUCAAAUUUGAAAUCUUAAAGGGUUUCCCUUUACGAAUUGUAGUUUAAAGAAGUGUUUUCUGUUGAGGUUUUGGUAAAAGUUCUUUGGAAUAGGACAUCAUAGAGGGUGAGAAUCCCGUAUUUGACCUUUACUUUCAACUUUGUGAUACACUUUCAAAGAGUCGGAUUGUUUGGGAAUGCAGUCCAAAAUGGGUGGUAAAUUUCAUCUAAAGCUAAAUAUUGGCGAGAGACCGAUAGCGAACAAGUACCGUGAGGGAAAGAUGAAAAGAACUUUGAAAAGAGAGUUAAACAGUACGUGAAAUUGUCAAAAGGGAAGCGUUUGACACCAGUGUUGUUUUUCUGAAAAUCAUUAAAGAACUGUUUAUGCUAAGUUGUUUAGACUUUAUCAGGCUAACUGUUUAGUUUUGAGCUUUUCUUUAAUGCACUUCUCAGUUAACAAGUCAACAUCAAUUUCUUUUGCUGUAAAAAAGCUUGAGGAAGGUGGCUUGAGAUUCGUCUUAAGUGUUUAUAGCCUCUUGCCUAUGCAGUCGGAGAGAUUGAGGUCUGCAGCGUAGAUCCUUCGGGGCUAAAUGCAUUUGUGCUAAGUUAUAGCAUUUUAUAGACAACUUGUUGACUAUGAUUUGUCUUGUAGCUUACUCGCUUAUGUUAUUUUACCUACGCUUAGGAUGUUGAACGCGCCAGAGUCUC
rnacentral:rRNA from 1 species